UGCGUUGACCCCGUUGUGUGAUUACCUCUGUGUAUUCGGUCAUCAAAAAAGAUUAUGUGUCGGAGAAAACAAACUUCAAAAGGGAUAUUUGUGAUGUGGAAGGGGAAAUGAACGAACACGGAUACAUUUUGUAGCUUUUGGUUCCAAGCCUGUAAGCUGAGCCAAGCAAAAUAGAUAUGUGAUGGAGGAGACUGGUGAUUACAAACUAAUCAAAAGAAGAAUAUGUCAUAUCUUGGAUAAAAAUGGUUACCUUCAACAAAUAGAUAUAUUGGUUACAGUUAAAUUAAAUAUUGUUGUUAAGAAGAUUUUCCCUAUUCAUCUUAGAGGAACAGAAACAUGUUUGGAUGGAACAUGUGCUUAAACUUUGCAUAAGUUUUGUUGAAACUUCCAUUUGAUACUGAAGAUGGUUGUUGAAUAUUGUUUGUUAACUAUAUCUAUAUGGCUUUAAAGAGAGAUGUUGACAGGUGCAAUUUUAGUGCAAAAAGUGCAUGUGUAACAUGUUGAAUGAACAAACAAUAGUAUGCAGUAAAACACCAAGAAUCAUUAUGUUUUCAUAACAUUUUAACAACUAAAUAAAUGGGUCGGAAUGUCCAUCUAUCCAUCCAUCAAAAGCAGAUAUCUACAUGUUAGUGAAACUUAAUACAUUAUAGAUGGAUAUAUCUCAUUGGGGAGAAAUGAUGUGUUGAAUUUGUAUGCCCCUACCCCCUUUGAAGGAGGGGGGGUAUAUUGUUUUGCUAAUGUCAGUCCGUCGGUAGACCACAUGGUUUCCACUUAUUAUCUUGAAAAAUAUUUAUCAUAUAGUCUAAUAUUUCACAUAAUGAUUGGUCAUAACUAGUAGAUGACCCAUAUUGAUUUUGGGUUCACUAGGUCAAAGGUCAAGGUCACAGGAGCCUUAAAUGUCAGAAUAGUUUCCGCUGAUUUUCUUGAAAAUAAUUCAUCAUAAAGUCUUCAUAUUUCACAUAUUAAUUGGUCAUAUCUAGAAGAUGACCCCUAUCGUUUUUGGGGUCACUAGGUCAAGGUCACAGGGGCCUUAAAUGUCAAAAUGGUGUCGCUGAUUAUCUUGUAAAGUAUUCAUCACAAAGUCGUCAUACUUCACAUAGUGAUUGGUCGUUAUAGUAGAUGACUUCUAUUGAUUUUGAAGUCACUAGGUCAAAGGUCAAGGUCACAGAGGCCUUAAAUGUCAGAAGGGUUUCUGCUGAUUAUCUUGAAAAGAAUUCAUCACAUAGUCUUCAUAUUUCACAUAUUGAUUGGUCAUAACUAGUAGAUGACCCCUAUUGAUUUUUGGGUCAUUACGUCAAAGGUCAAGGUCACAGGGGCCUCAAAUGUCAGAAUGGCUUCUGCUCAUUAUCUUUGUUAUAAUUCAUCACAAAGUCUUCAUAUAUCACAUAUUAAUUGGUCGUAACUAGUAGAUGACCCCUAUUGAUUUUUGGGUCACUAAGUAAAAUGUCAAGGUCACAGGGGCCUUGAAUGGUUAUAUGAUUUCCACUUAUUAUUAUGGUUACUACUUAUUACAAAGUCUUCAUAUUUCACAUAUUGAGUCUCUGAUUUUCACGCUCUCGUUAAUCUUCGGCGAUAUCUGUGCCUUGUUGCUUACAUUGCUGACAUUAAUUUUCAUCGGAGUAAUAUUUGUGUAGAAAAGUGUGUUUUGUACUUUUAAAAUAAAUAAUUAUUGCUUCUUAUAUAAGUAGAAAAUGCUUAGUCUUUUUUGUUGAUGUACCUCCGGGAAUUCAAUAAGGCGGAACUAAAUAUUUUUACUCUUGGUUAUAUAGUAGGUGGCCAAACAUUAAGCUAGUAGCAUUUCAUCAAACAUUUAAACAACCCUUGAUUUUCAUGAAACUUUGAAAACUGUUUUGUCUUGUAACAUGUAAGAAAGCCUUUUUUUUAAUUUCAAGUCUGCCAAAUGUUAGUAAGUAUUCUUGUUCUGUUUGAUCAAACCUAGUUAAAUGUUGUAGUUUUUUUUUGUUUUUUUUUUCAAAAACAUCAUUGCAAGUUUUUCAGUCAAUUUUUAAAGUCUGUAAAAUGCCAUUACAUUUUUAAUUGUAGAAGACUAACUUAUACUGUACAUAUGUUAGAAAAAUUGUAGAUGUGUUAGAAUUAUAUUUAUAUAUCUGUAAAUUUGUUUUAAUGCUUUAGACUGUAAGAAUAUAAUUCUUUUUUCAUUUUGUAAAAUGUUCUCUGCUGUAACAUUUUGAAUGAAAACUUGUAUUUAAAUGCUUCUAUCUAUUGUCAGUAAAUCUUUUUUUCGGGCAUAUUAUGUAAAAUAAUGUUAUACCC